rnacentral:rRNA from 1 species
UUACGGUCAAAUCACGCUGAAACACCGGUUCUCGUACGAUCACCGAAGUUAAGCAGCGUAGAGACAGGUCAGUACUUAGAUGGGGGACCGCUUGGGAACACCUGGUACUGUAAG